AUGGCCAGGAAGUUCUGGGGUCUCUUGAGGAAAACUUUUUGCUGCCAACUGACAGAUAGUCUAUCUGAGGCUGACUUUCAGAACUUCUCUGACUUGGAAUGUGACCCACCUGAGGUGAGAUCUUACUGGACUGCUAAAGGGACCACGGCAGGAUCGCCUAAAGGACCGUGCGUAUCCGAGCUGGAGGAGUUGUACUUCCAGGACAGAUUGUGUGGUCUGCAGCAUAAAUCGAAUGAUGCCUCGAAGUACAAUCAGGAGCAGACGAUCUGGGUCUGUGACCUAGAGGACACCGUGGACUUUGAGGAGCAGCCACGUUGGCCAAGGAUGUACAGGCAGACCUCCCGGGAGCUGGAGAAGCAGAAGUCCCUGGAGGACUUGAUGAAAGAGAAGCAGAUUCUGGAAAAACAUCUGCACUGUAUGUCCCACCUCCAGCAAGAGGUUGCACUCUUACAAGACCAACUGCAAAGGACCAAAUUUCCAUCUCCACCUUACAUCUGUCCCCUGGCUACCUCUCCGUCUCGCCCCGGCUUCUGCUCCCCUGCUCCUGUGAGGCUCAACUUCUCCCAGAGAAAGUGCUCGGAAACAGUACCAGAGCUGAAAUCAACAAGGAAGGCUCUGCCAGGUGGUAUGUGCUCCCACUCCCAAGAGAGGGAAGAAGGUGAGUCCCCACCCGUGAAGGGCACUGUGAAGGAGGUGCUGGACACACUGACCAAGCUGACUUCAAAGGCGUCUACUACUGGGGCAGCAGCCAGAGAGGGCUCCACAGUCAACCUCAUAGAGGAACAGCCAGAUGGGGAGAAUCUUUCAGCAGAUGGACUUUCCUCCUCCUCCUCCAAUGACUCCAGUUUAAGCCUCACACCAGCCCUCUCCAAAUGCCAAAUGAGGAAAAUCUCCAGUCACAGUGAUCUAGCUGAUGCCCCUGCUUCCCAGGAUCUUGGCCAUGGUGAACUUGACCCACAGAGGGUGGAGGAGUCUUCUCAGGACGGCUCUGAGGAGGACCAGCAGGACAUCGGCUGGGAGAAGGCCAGUCUCACGUCAGCAGAGCUCCCUGCAUCUCAAGCCGGCAGAGCGUCAGUCAUCGGGGAAGAGGGCGGUGGCGGUACACCCACGCUGAGUAGUGAGGAAGCAGGGUCCGGAGAACAGUGCCAAGAAGCUGGUCUGACUUCUACCUUGAGCUGCUUGGCACCCAGAUCAGAAAGCAAGCACGAAGAGUCUUCUGACCUCACCGACUCCAGCAAGCCCGAAGGUCAUGCCGGUUUUGAACACUUCUCGCCCACCGCCGAAGGUGCCUUCUGCUAAAAAUGUGGUAACAGCUGGUCCAGAACUCACCUCUGUUCCUGUCUUGACUGCUGGGAGAAGGAAGAAUAAUUCCCAGUGAUAGGAAGAGUUUGCUGCUUCUCCUAUGCCUCCAAUUUUAAUCCUGUUUCUGAAAUAAAGUAGUUGAGAACUCAGUCUCUGAUCUUCUAUUCCCUAUGACGGAGCCUUCAUCUUCCUUUCUUACGGAUUGGACAUGGGCAUCAAUUAAGUUGGCCACUAGAUAAGAGGAGGGAAGAGAUGUUGCUAAAGUCUGGAUCCAGUCUGUUCUACCUCCUCUUCUUUCUCCCACCAGUUGGAGCAAGGAGCACUUUUAAGAGGCUGAACCCACAUGCAGGUGUCUUCCUCAGAUUCCUGCUGGAUAGUUUUGCUGUCUGAUUCGGGCUCAAAAAGUGAGCUGAGCAAGGAUGCUAAGCAUCCUCAUGUGCAGAAAGUUUGACUCUCUUCACUCUAUCACCUCUGCAGUUAAGCAGGGGCCAUUGGGAGGAAGGGAAUGGAUAAAUGGGAGUAGUGGAUCAGGUCACUGAUCCAACUGCUUAGAAACAACUCAAACAGUGCCAAUAGGUGCCUUUUGGCAGGUGUGGGCAAGCCUAUUUUGACAAUGUUCUGGUUCCCCUUAAAGGCUGAGGAGGGGAUCAGGCAGGGUAUUAUUCCUAGCAGAGGCUUUAACACUUCCCAAAAAUGACUGGGCAAUGAGAGCCAUUCAGAAAGCUGGUUGGGGCUUCCUAAAUUAGAAGUAUUCUUCACUGCCACACCCCCUCCCCUUCCUCCAUCCAGCAAACAUAACUACUCCCACCUUUCUCUCCGCCAAGCAAAUGCUCUCU
rnacentral:lncRNA from 1 species